UACGUAGGGCGCAAGCGUUGUCCGGAAUUAUUGGGCGUAAAGAGCUCGUAGGUGGCCUGUUGCGUCUGCCGUGAAAGCCCGUGGCUUAACUGCGGGUCUGCGGUGGAUACGGGCAGGCUAGAGGCUGGUAGGGGCAAGCGGAAUUCCUGGUGUAGCGGUGAAAUGCGCAGAUAUCAGGAAGAACACCCGUGGCGAAGGCGGCUCUCUGGGACGGUACUGACGCUGAGACGCGAAAGCGUGGGGAGCAAACAGG
rnacentral:rRNA from 1 species